UGGUGCUGCACAACGGAUCUUCAUCCCCGUGUAACGUUUCAAACGAACCGGAAAUGUGUUUCACUUCAGUGGCCUUAGGAUGAAAGUGUGAGCAGCAGCGUUGACGCCCCCAUUACCUCCAGGUGGCAGCUUUGCAUUGGUUGGAGCGUUAACAGUGUAUAUACACUGGACCCAGCCAUCCUGUUCCGUCCGGUGAGGACCAGGACUCUGACUGGAGAGGGCAGAGCUAGGAACUGCCCCAGGCUGUGUGUGUAGAGAGCAUGAGCUGGGGUUAGAGAGCAAGCUAUUUGAAAACAAGCUAUUAGAAAGAGAAAGCUUUGCUUGUGUACAGCGUGGCUGUGGCCAACAAAAGCUGUAAAAUAAAGCCCAGCGUCUUGUACGAAA